GAUGAACGCUGGCGGCGUGCCUAAUACAUGCAAGUCGAGCGAACAGACGAGGAGCUUGCUCCUCUGACGUUAGCGGCGGACGGGUGAGUAACACGUGGAUAACCUACCUAUAAGACUGGGAUAACUUCGGGAAACCGGAGCUAAUACCGGAUAAUAUAUUGAACCGCAUGGUUCAAUAGUGAAAGACGGUUUUGCUGUCACUUAUAGAUGGAUCCGCGCCGCAUUAGCUAGUUGGUAAGGUAACGGCUUACCAAGGCAACGAUGCGUAGCCGACCUGAGAGGGUGAUCGGCCACACUGGAACUGGGACACGGUCCAGACUCCUACGGGAGGAAGCAGUAGGGAAUCUUCCGCAAAGGGCGAAAGCCUGACGGAGCAACGCCGCGUGGGUGAUGAAGGUCUUCGGAUCGUAAAACUCUGUUAUUAGGGAAGAACAAAUGUGUAAGUAACUAUGCACGUCUUGACGGUACCUAAUCAGAAAGCCACGGCUAACUACGUG
rnacentral:rRNA from 1 species